ACCUUUAACCACGCCCGGUUAUAUUUAGACUGUACCAAGUUCCUAAAGACUUCAUUGAAAUUCGUCAUGUUCAUGCAAUUUGACUACAAUGAUUGGAUUGCAGUCUUCAUUCCUUGCAAGUCGUUUCUUCACAAUAAUUUCAUAAAUAUAGUAAUGGAUCCAUUAGUCUUGAUGAGAUGAGGAGUGGAAUCAAAUUAUUAAUAAAAGGGUCACAACUGGAUACUUACAUUUUAAUUUCAAGUUUACAAUGUUGAUGGUGAUGGUGCUAUUGACUAUGAUGAGUUGAACCAAGGCCUUGAAAGUUUAUCAAAUAUUGAUGAAGAAAUUUUAGAGACAAACAAAAUGCAUUUUUACAUGUAAUACCAGUUCUGCAAAAACUUUGUCGGGAUAAAAAAAUUUUGGAGAGAUUUUGGCCUUCCUGGUUGUCAUGUAAACAUGUCAGAAAUGAUUGGUUGUAUUUCAUCUUCUUGUUUGUGUUCUUCAAAAUUAAUAUUUUACUGUUUGUGGACGCAGCAAUCAGAUACAGAAAAUCAACAUUUAGCCAGAGAUGCUGGUACUUGUCUCAUCAAGUAGUUGUCCUUAUACUAAUGUAUUGACACUCAUUCGAUCAGCAAGACUGUCUAUUUGACAAAUUAACUACAUAAGAUUGUGGGAUAUACUAUUAUCAUACUAUCUCUUCUAAUCUCUUGUUAUUUCAUGGCACAUUUUAUAAAAAUCAGGUCUUGUUGGAUACUUUGUCAUUGGGUUUGAGGUUCCCUCUUAUCCUGUGUACUUGAGUACUAGUCCUCAAGAUACACCCACUCACUGGCAUCAGAGGAUAUUCUUCCUCAAUGAACCCAUACAAGUUCAAACAGGUGUUUAUUAUGUGGUAGUAUCACUUGCUAUAAGAACAAGGAUUGUUCAAGAUCACUUGAUAUCAAGAUACAGAUUAUGUUAUUUCCACUCUCAAAAGAAUCCCAAGUAUUAAUGAUACCAGAACUUGUACUGUACACACUAUCAUCAUGUGUUACUGUUUGUACUUUGUUGUCAUCAGUAGAAUUAAAUUAUAUGCCAUCAUUGCUAAACUUU